AUUUUCAGUUAUAAGAUAAGUAAGUUCUGCUAAGCAGGUUGGACCUGGUUAGUACUUGGAUGGGAGACCACCCAGGAAGACCAGGUGCUGUAGGCA
rnacentral:rRNA from 1 species